UACGAAGGGGGCUAGCGUUGUUCGGAAUCACUGGGCGUAAAGCGCACGUAGGUGGACUUUCAAGUCAGGGGUGAAAUCCCGGGGCUCAACCUCGGAACUGCCUUUGAUACUGUUGGUCUUGAGUCCGGAAGAGGUGAGUGGAAUUCCUAGUGUAGAGGUGAAAUUCGUAGAUAUUAGGAAGAACACCGGUGGCGAGGGCGGCUCACUGGUCCGGUACUGACACUGAGGUGCGAAAGCGUGGGGAGCAAACAGG
rnacentral:rRNA from 1 species